UACGAAGGGGGCUAGCGUUGUUCGGAAUCACUGGGCGUAAAGCGCACGUAGGCGGAUCUUUAAGUCAGGGGUGAAAUCCCGAGGCUCAACCUCGGAACUGCCUUUGAUACUGGGGAUCUCGAGUCCGGGAGAGGUGAGUGGAACUGCGAGUGUAGAGGUGAAAUGCGUAGAUAUCUGGAGGAACACCGGUGGCGAAAGCGGCUCACUGGACCUGAUCUGACACUGAGGUGCGAAAGCUAGGGUAGCAAACGGG
rnacentral:rRNA from 1 species